GUCUAUGGCCAUGCUAAGCCUGAUCCCAUCUGAUCUCGGAAGCUAAGCAGGGUCGGGUUAGUACUUGGAUGGGAGACCACCUAGGAAGACCAGGUGCUGUAUGUG
rnacentral:rRNA from 1 species